GACGUAGGGGGCGAGCGUUGUCCGGAUUCAUUGGGCGUAAAGCGCGCGCAGGCGGCCACGCAAGUCGGAUGUGAAAUCCCGGGGCUCAACCCCGGACCGUCAUUCGAAACUGCGUGGCUAGAGGCAGGUAGGGGAGAUCGGAAUUCCCGGUGUAGCGGUGAAAUGCGCAGAUAUCGGGAGGAACACCGGUGGCGAAGGCGGAUCUCUGGGCCUGUCCUGACGCUCAGGCGCGAAAGCUAGGGGAGCGAACAGG
rnacentral:rRNA from 1 species